AUUUUAUUUUACAUGACACCGCCUUAUAAUAUAUAAAUAAUUUUUAAUUAAGAAAUUCCUUGUGUUUAUUCAUAUUGUUAAAGCAUUGUUCGCCAGGUGUUUUGUCCGGAAACGAAUUUUGGUCAUUCUAAAUCGGCAAACAAUGAGUGACCAAGAAAAUCCUCCUGUAGAUCAAAAUACUAAAACUACGCCAACAGAGACGACAACGGACUCCGCAACAGAGGAAAGUGAGAAACCUCAUUCCAGAAGGAAAAGAGCAAUUAUAGACGUUCCCUCAAGGAACGACAUUGGACCGGACGGACAGGAGGUGGAAGAAUUUUAGUUAAGUUUUAUUAUAACGUAAUAUAGUAUUAUUAAGCACAAAUUUAAUUUUAUUAUGUGGAAUUAAGAAUGGAUUUUUUUAGUGUCGCUAACAAAUAAUUACGAUCAUCUGCUGUAAUGAAAUAAAAUGAAUAAAUGUCUUUUGAAUACAUAUCUUUGUGUUAAUGCCCAAAAAAUUUAACAAUAUUCAAAAUGAUUAUUUGCGUUGUUUGGGAUAAAUACAUAAAUACAGAAUGAUUGAAAUACAUUUUGAACGAAUGAAAUAAUUUAAUCAACUAAGCAGAUUGCGAAGGUAAGUGAUCACCUUCAUUAAUAACUAUUAGACUAUAUGUGAUUAUCCCAGAAGUUUAAUAUACUUCUCACAUUCUACAUUUACAUCUGAUAUUGUUUUCCGCUUUCGAUACUAGGAAAGUCCGAUAUAUUUUCGGUCAGAUGGAAAAUAGAUGACCUUUUGGUAUGGUAAAUUCAGCCAGAGAAAUUUGGGAUGCAAUAUUUGUACAUGUAAACUCGGCAAGAUUUUAGAGUGUCACUUUAAAACCAAAAUGAUUAUGAUUUUCCAAGAAUUUUCUUAAGUAUCCGUUAUACUUAGGUAUUUCCAAUCGUUUAUAAUAUUCAUUUAAAUAUAAUUUAUGGAUUUUUUUUGUAUUUAUGUAUUAAAAUGUUUUCGAACACUAACCUGCCUCCUGUACUCAGGUUCUUGAAGCACUUUUUGGCCGAAUUUACGAGUGAUUUUAAACUGACCUUUGUGAAACCGUAGGUCAAGUAAUUGAUUUGGCCGAAUCUACAUUCCCCGAAGUUCGCAAGAAUGAUCAGUAAACAUGAACUGAUACAAUGGUUUUUCAUACAAUGACAAUUCAUAUAAGAAAAAUUGGUCUUCUCAAAAUAAAAUGACCUGUUAGUAAAAUUACAGUUAAUGCUCUGAUUAAUGUAUUCUUCUUUUCUGGUCAUAAUUUGAAAGAUUGUCUUGGGCUCACUAAAUUUUAAAGUUUUAUAAAAAGUUUUAUAAUCGUAAAAUGAUGGGACGAAUUUCUACACACAUUGUGUAUCUUACGUAGGGGGAGCCAAACAACCCUUUCUGUAGUGCCUCAACAUAAGCUUGCUUGGCCAGCAUUGGAAUAAAAUAUUAAAGGCUUUAUACCUGCAAAUGUGUCUUCGAUGCACCCUCCUAUAUAACCUUUACGCUCGAACCACCGUGCGUUUGAUGCACGUAUUCUAUUUUUAAAGCAAUUAUUGUAAGCAUAUUAAAAAACAUUAAGCAUAAAUUUGAAAUAAAAAUUUCGAAAUUGCACAGACAACAUCCCAUAGUAUUUAGUAACACGGGUUUUGAAUUUGAGCAACGAAUAUUCAAGCAAUUUCUUUAUAUAACUUGCCAAUGAAAUGCUAUAUGAGAAUAAGCUUUAUUCAUCAUUACACCAUUACUAAAAAACAAUGUUUAAGUUGGAAAAUGAACGUUGAAUGUCUUUUUACAAGACGUUAUCUGUACGAGCACAUGAUCAAGUCUAAUAAUCACUGUUAUAUCUUACCAUAAGUUAACUAUACUUUCAGGCUUCUCUCUACGGUUCAAGUGCUUGUUUUUCCACAUUCGUUAAUAAUAUUAAUAUAACCUUGAAACCUUUUUUAAAUCCUCUGUCUAUCGUAGUGCAUAUUGAAAUAUAAAUAAUUAAGUAGUCAAAAUACUUGAAUUUCAAGGUACUUCACUUUUAUCUAGUGAUUUUCUAUAGAAUAUAAAGUGCACAUAAUUAUUGUAUAGAAAAUAUUUUUCCUCAAUUUCUGAUUACUUCGACCUUUUGAUAUAUUAAUGCAUCUAAAUUUUCUUGAUUUUAGAUCUCUUCUAUUUUAAAAUUAGUUUAAAUUAGUUUUUUUAAUAAUUAUUGGAAGAUAAAAUUUGAUGUAUUGACUUUUCUUUAAGUCUUUGUCAAACUAUGAUAUUGACACUAACAAUUCGCGCAUUUAUAUCAGUCAAUAGAUCACCUACAUCAUGAAUAUUAGAAUAAAAAUAAAAAUAAAAUUAAAAUAGAAAAUGUUCUGAGAAAAAUUAAUUUUAGUUUUAUUAGAAUUUCCAAAAUAAAGCUAUAAAUUUUACAUAAAUUAUUUAGGUCUUUUUUAUCAUUUAUAGCUUUUUCGUUUUUAUGAAUGUGAACAAUUUCUAAAAAUUAUCUUUUUCUUGUAUUAGAUUCCGUUCCAAGAAUUUUUGAAUCUUAAUCAUUGAAGUUUUUUUUUGAUAUUUCAUGUUUAGUUAAGGCAGUUUUACCGUAUUGAUGACUUUUUAGUCUAUUUUAUAAAUAUUGAGAGGUUUGCCCUAUGUACACUACUAUAUUUUCAAGAUGUGAGGACUAAGAAAAAAUUAAUUUUUCUUAUUAGAACAUUUUCUAUUUUGAUUUUAUUCUUAUUUUGAUAUUCAUGAUGUAGGUGAUCUAUUGAUUAAUAUAAAUGCGCAAAUUGUCAAUGUCAAUAUCAUAUUUUGAUAAAGACUUAUAGAAAAGUCGAAACAUCAAAUUAUUACAAAAAUUUUUAGAAAAACUAAUUUUAAAACAGAAGAGACCUAAAAUCAAGAACGAUUAGUGAAAAUAUUCUUUUUAACCUGAUCUAUAAAACUAAGAAUUCCAUGAAUAUAUUAAUAAAUUAACAUCAAAACUGAAACAUCCUGAAAUCAUAUGAUUUGAAAAGGCAUUUUCAUAAACGUACAUGAUACAUACAAGGUUUGUCUGAAAAGUUUCCAACCUAACAAAAAGCAAGACAUUCUCUUUCCAUAUUUCUUCAAUUUUUAUAUAGUGGUUAAGAUUUUUUCAGUUUUCUAAAUCAAAAUAUAUCAAAUUGGAAACAAAGAAAAACCGAAAAUAUAACCAAAAAACUAAUAAUAUUCAUAUCAAAUAUAUAAUUGAGAAUAAUAAACUCGACAUGAAUAUUUUCCUCGAUUUCUUAUGCUCAAUAAAACUCAAUUAAUAUUUUAUAUAUUAUAGGAAUAGGUAAACAAAAUAUAUCUAAAAAUAUUUUGGUACGCUUGUGCUAUUCAACAAUAUACGGAAUAAAUUUCUCUUAUAUUAAUCAACGAAUUUAGUUUCAUGGCCAUAUUUCGCAAAAACUGUUUCGCUGUUUCGCUGUUGUGUCGUUUCGGUUUUUUUCAUAAUAAGUAUUCUUCUAACAGAAAUCCGCAAACAAUGAGUGACCAAGAAAAUCCUCCUGCAGACCAAAAUACUAAAACUACGCCAACAGAGAUGACAACGGACUCCACAACAGUGGAAAAUGAGAAAUCUCAUUCCAGAACUAAAAGAUCUAUUAUAGAUGUUCCUUUGAGAAUCGACAUUGGACCAGAUGGAAAACAGGUGACAGAGUUUAGUUAAGUUUCACUAUAACUAUCGUAAAGUGGUAUUAUUAAGCCCAUCAUUCUUUGUAUCACUGGAUAAUAAUUGUAUAACUCUGCUGUAAUGAAAUUUAUUGAAAUGAAAUAGAUUAAAUAAAUGCCUUUGGAUUACA